rnacentral:rRNA from 1 species
GCGUUAAUCGGAAUUACUGGGCGUAAAGCGUGCGUAGGCGGUUUGUUAAGUCAGAUGUGAAAGCCCCGGGCUCAACCUGGGAACUGCAUUUGAUACUGGCAGGCUAGAGUACGGUAGAGGGUGGUGGAAUUCCCGGUGUAGCGGUGAAAUGCGUAGAGAUCGGGAGGAACAUCCGUGGCGAAGGCGGCCACCUGGACCAGUACUGACGCUGAGGCACGAAAGCGUGGGGAGCAAACAGGAUUAGAUACCCUGGUAGUCCACGCCCUAAACGAUGCGAACUGGACGUUGGGCUCACUUUGGAGCUCAGUGUCGAAGCUAACGCGUUAAGUUCGCCGCCUGGGGAGUACGGUCGCAAGACUGAAACUCAAAUGAAAUUGAC